AGUCCCGUAGCUCAGUGGUUAGAGCAUCUGCUUUGCACACAGAAGGUCCCAAGUUCAAAACCUAGUAUCUCCAGGUGGGGCUG